UACGUAGGUGGCGAGCGUUGUCCGGAUUUACUGGGCGUAAAGGAUGCGUAGACGGUAGCGUAAGUCAGAUGUGAAAGCCCCGGGCUCAACCUGGGAACUGCAUUUGAGACUGCUCUGCUCGGGUGCGGAAGAGGGAAGCGGAAUUUCCGGUGUAGCGGUGAAAUGCGUAGAUAUCGGAAGGAACACCAGUGGCGAAAGCGGCUUCCUGGUCCGACACCGACGUUCAGGCACGAAAGCGUGGGGAGCAAACAGG
rnacentral:rRNA from 1 species